AUGAUUAGUUAAACAGAACUUUUAUCUAUCUAAAGACCUAAAACUAGUAAAUCAAAAAACUGGUCCCUAUAUUAACGCCUAGCCUAUGUAUUUUUAAUGUAUUUUCUUUAAAGGUAUUAACUACUAUCUAGUGUGAAAUUAUCUUUGUUUCAAAUAGCAUUAAGAACAUUUGGCCCUAAAGCAGAUUAGCCUUUAGACUUUAACAUUGUGGGAAAAGUUGUUAAAAUCUUUCUUUAGUCUCAGAUGGUCUUUGAGUAGGAAUUGGUUUAUAAGAGUUUACCACAUUAACUUAACUUUUCCUUUCUCACGUUUUGGAAACAAAAUUCAACAAAGUGAGUGUUGUUUUGAUUUCACAAUUUGGAGUGCGGUUUUCAACAUAGUUAAGUACUUUGACUUAUCAAAAUUAUUUGUUUUCCUUAAACGUGCAACUUAUAUGCUUUUAAUACUUAUUAUCCUAACUAGUGAAUAAACCUAAGUUUGACCAGUUAUCUAAUUAACGGAUCAUAUAGGGUGUUUUAAUAACCUUUCCUAUAGGAUAAAUUAGAACCCUUACCCAUAAUUUUAAGGUUAAAUAGACUAUAUAAACUGAGUUAACUUUAGCGUUAUUUAGAUAAAAGGUGGUGUUCUAAUUCACCUUAAAAUAAUUAGGUGACCACUCUCUUAAAAUUAAUUAAAUAUCGUCCUUUCUAAUAUGUUAUACUCUAAUCGACCUGGUUAAAAUGGGGUAUAACACAUGCCAUAAUUGCAGAUUUCCAGCCAUCGACCCUAAGCUUCUUCUUCUUCAUGGAGUCAAAACAAGCGAAGAACAGAGCUCCCAUCUGUUCCUGUUUCUUCAUCUCGUAACCAGCAGAUUUUUUCUUCUUCAUCGUACUCAACUCAACUCGCCGGAACACGCACACACGCAGUCACGUACCAAAACAAAAAUGGGACAGAAAUUAAAAGAGGUCCAUGGUUCUUAGAAUCUUUGAAAAAUCGGAAAACUAAAACAAAACAAAAAAAGAUAUAUGUUCUUCAUUUUUUUUUCAUCUCGAUGUUGAUUUUCUAAAAACCCAUGGAUUCUGUCUGAGCCGAGUUAGAGUCGAGUUUGCGUUCGAGAUUCCGUCCGCGUUGAUUUCUGGAUGCAGUGAUUCGUUCUGUUCAACUACAAUAAUUUGCUGGAGUUAUAUUAAUUAAAAGUCAUUUUUUCCAGGUCCAAGUCAUUUGGAAAUUGCCCUGCCGGAUCCGGGUGGGACAAUUGUACUAGCAUAUCCUUAGUUUGGAAGCACGCGAGGAGCUAUAUACGGUCAAAUUGGAGGGUCCAAUUUCUUGUCAUUAUGGUGUUUGGGAAGUCAUAUCGAGAUCUCGAGGCUGCGAGGUUGGACCCGAUGAGGGUUGCCUACGUAUCUCACAUCCGGUGAGAAUCAAACCCGCGUAGUUCGGGCAAAUGAACUACUUUAAAAGAAGAAAGGAAGCAUUUUUGAUUGACUUUCUUUUUACAAGAAACACUUCUAAGAUAUAUUUUGGAAUUUUCAUUUGCACUUNNNN
rnacentral:lncRNA from 1 species